GGUGAGCAAGCAUCCAUCUCAACUGAAAGCCUCAGCACUGGAAAGCUGGGCUGUGUUUUAAACAUGCCUGUCUUCAUAGCACCAUCUGCUGGUACUUCACGAGUACUAUAGCCCGCAGCUUUGUCAUGUCUGUACCUGCGUAUUUCACAAGAGUGUCAAGCAUUGCUGUGAAGUUAUGGUAUUCUUUUAAGGAUGUCAUCUUCCUGUUUCAAGGGCAGAGGUGCUGGUUGGCCAUCAGGCAAGCUUUUCCUUCCUCUUCUAAGGUAAUUUCACUUCAAGAUGCAAUAGUUUUUUGAGCUGUAGACAUCCCAGAGUAGCUGGAUAACUCAUCCAGGUAAACCCAGGGAAUGGUUUAUAUGACAUUGCUGCCCGAGGGCUGAAGGUAUUCCUGUGGAAGUGUAACCUCUGAUCAGGGAAGUCAUCCCUUUACAGAAUGAACGUUAAUUCUGCAGUAUGGUGACUCCAGCUCAGGCACAGCGAUUCAAUUUAGAUUAAGCAAAGAUAUAUUUAUCAGAAAGGAUGAGGAUGACAAUAAGAAUGACUUUUAUUCUUACAGUUACAUGGUAGAAGGCACAGAAUUUCCCCUACCUGCUCCCUGUGCUUGGGGAGAGUUACUCUGCCCCAGAGCACAGAUUCUGGUGCUUCUUCCCAUGAGGUGCAACAGGUUUUGCUGAAGCAUGUGUUAAGAGGGCAGAGAAAGGGAGAGAAUGUCAGCCUCCUUCAAGUAGACAUGCUCUUACAAGAGCACAGCAGAAGCUUUGCUUUCAGGGCCAGUGGCUGUGAAAGGCAGAGACAGCAGGCCUAGAAUGGUUACACCUCUGUGCAGUGUAGAAGAGGUGACCCCUGCCCUCCUCACAUGCUGGUGUUGCAAAUUUCAUUUGUCCCCUUCUAUGUUAAACUGCAACUAGGGCCUGUGACACUUAGAGAGACAGCUUCAGUUUGGUGACAAUGUGGACAACGGAUUUCACAGCAUGAUACUCGCUCAAGCACACUCUGCAAACCACAGGCUGUGUCUUGGGAAGCAGCAUGUACCACAGUCAGUGGGAUGCCAGGACAUUGGUGUAUCUCAUUGCUUCAGUGGGUG